rnacentral:lncRNA from 1 species
AUGAGUUCGCAAGAUGAGCCAGAGGAUGGCGGUUGUGAAUGUGUCAUAUGUAUGUGUGAUGUCCGAGAUACUCUUAUUCUCCUUGUCGUCAUUUGUGUUUGUGCAAUGCCUGUGCUGAUUCUUUGCGUUAUCAAGCGAAUAACUGUCCAAUCUGUCGUUCCCCGUUCCGAGCUUUGCUCCAAAUCAGAGCCCUCCAGAAGUCAUCCUCACACUCAUCAACAGAGAAUGACAACAUUCCCCCUGGAUAUGAGGCUGUCUCAUUGAUAGAAGCUCUGAACGGUCCCCACGCUACCCGCCCAAAUCCACCACUAGAUUCCAUGGCUGAAACCCCCGACUCAGAAACAAACGGCCAGGCUGCUCAAAUUUUGAACAGAUCAAAUAUAGAUUGCUCUACUCUCAAAUCAAAUAAAUCCAAACUGAAUUCUUCCGAUGCCUCUGAAGUGAGGUCAAUUACUGAACGCUCUUUCUCAAAUUCCAAGUUACGAAUGUCAGUUCUCUUGGCAAGAGAAGAGGAAAAGUCGAGUGGAAGGAGUUCACUACCGAGAGAUAAAAGUGCUAUCUUAAGGCACCCAAGGGAUUCUGUUAGCUUUAUCAAUGAAAAGCAGCAAGAUGAGACUGGUGAUGAGGACAGUGAAGCAGAAAAACUCUCGCCUCUUCUAGAUGCAGCAACAAGCACUGACAAUGCACCAUCCGUUCCAAGUUUGGACUGCAGCCUCCAAGAAAGUAACAACUCGCAGGAGAAGAAAUCUCCUGAUAAGGAUGAAGAGUUCUACACACCAGACGACACAUCUGUCACAGUCCUCACAUCAGUCCCUGAAAAAAACCGGAGUCAUAGUAAUGGUAUAAGUUGUGUAAUGGUGAGCCGCGCUUGGCCCGGCGGUGUCUCUUUGCCAGGCACUCCGCUCAGCUCCUCGAGUCACAGGUCCAGCGGAGACAGCUACAGCUCUAACUGCUCUAGCAAGCUCCUCCUAACGUCAGCUGCGGAAACUCCCACCGCCGCAACAACUAAAAUAACUAACUGA